rnacentral:rRNA from 1 species
GACGAACGCUGGCGGCGUGCUUAACACAUGCAAGUCGAACGGAAAGGCCCUGCUUUUGUGGGGUGCUCGAGUGGCGAACGGGUGAGUAACACGUGAGUAACCUGCCCUUGACUUUGGGAUAACUUCAGGAAACUGGGGCUAAUACCGGAUAGGAGCUCCUGCUGCAUGGUGGGGGUUGGAAAGUUUCGGCGGUUGGGGAUGGACUCGCGGCUUAUCAGCUUGUUGGUGGGGUAGUGGCUUACCAAGGCUUUGACGGGUAGCCGGCCUGAGAGGGUGACCGGCCACAUUGGGACUGAGAUACGGCCCAGACUCCUACGGGAGGCAGCAGUGGGGAAUAUUGCACAAUGGGCGGAAGCCUGAUGCAGCAACGCCGCGUGCGGGAGGACGGCUUCGGGUUGUAAACCGCUUUCGCCUGUGACGAAGCGUGAGUGACGGUAAUGGGUAAAGAAGCACCGGCUAACUACGUG